rnacentral:tRNA from 1 species
GUAGGCUUUUGUUUACCGAGGGUUCGAAUCCCUCUCUUUCCG